rnacentral:rRNA from 1 species
GACGAACGCUGGCGGCGUGCUUAACACAUGCAAGUCGAACGGAAAGGCCCUGCUUUUGUGGGGUGCUCGAGUGGCGAACGGGUGAGUAACACGUGAGUAACCUGCCCUUGACUUUGGGAUAACUCAGGAAACUGGGGCUAAUACCGGUUAGGAGCUCCUGCUGCGGGGGGGGGGUGGGAAAGUUUCGGCGGUUGGGGAUGGACUCGGGGCUUAUCAGCUUGUUGGUCGGGUAGUGGCUUACCAAGGCUUUGACGGGUAGCCGGCCUGGGAGGUUGACCUGCCACAUUGCGACUGCGAUACGGCCCAGUCUCCUACGGGAGGCAGCAGUGGGGAAUAUUGCACAAUGGGCGGAAGCCUGAUGCAGCAACGCCGCGUGCGGGAUGACGGCCUUCGGGUUGUAAACCGCUUUCGCCUGUGACGAAGCGUGAGUGACGGUAAUGGGUAAAGAAGCACCGGCUAACUACGUG